rnacentral:rRNA from 1 species
GCUGGCGGCGUGCUUAACACAUGCAAGUCGAGUGCGCGCCUGUAGCAAUACAGGUGGCGCACGGCGCACGGGUGCGUAACACGUGGGUAACCUGCCCUUUAGUGGGGAAUAACCUCGCGAAAGCGAGGCUAAUUCCGCAUAAGAUCCGCAAGGAUGAAAGCCGAAAGGCGCUGAUGGAGGGGCCCGCGCACGAUUAGCUAGUUGGUGAGGUAAUGGCUCACCAAGGCUAUGAUCGUUAGCUGGUCUGAGAGGAUGGCCAGCCACACUGGAACUGAGACACGGUCCAGACUCCUACGGGAGGCAGCAGUGGGGAAUCUUGCACAAUGGGCGAAAGCCUGAUGCAGCGACGCCGCGUGGGGGAUGAAGCUUCUCGGAGUGUAAACCCCUUUCGACCCGGACGAAUACCUCGCAAGAGGGGUGACGGUACGGGUAUAAGAAGCCCCGGCUAACUACGUGCCAGCAGCCGCGGUAA